rnacentral:rRNA from 1 species
AACGAACGCUGGCGGCAUGCCUAACACAUGCAAGUCGAACGGGAUCCAGGCUUCGGCCUGGUGAGAGUGGCGGACGGGUGAGUAACGCGUGGGAACCUGCCCAAUGGUCUAGGAUAACCGCGGGAAACUGCGGCUAAUACCGGAUAAGCCCGAGAGGGGAAAGAUUUAUCGCCGAUGGAGGGGCCCGCGUCAGAUUAGGUAGUUGGUGGGGUAAUGGCCUACCAAGCCUACGAUCUGUAGCUGGUCUGAGAGGAUGAUCAGCCACACUGGGACUGAGAUACGGCCCAGACUCCUACGGGAGGCAGCAGUGGGGAAUAUUGGACAAUGGGGGCAACCCUGAUCCAGCAAUGCCGCGUGAGUGAUGAAGGCCUUAGGGUUGUAAAGCUCUUUUGCCAGGGACGAUGAUGACGGUACCUGGAGAAUAAGCCCCGGCUAACUUCGUGCCAGCCGCCGCCGUAAU